rnacentral:snoRNA from 1 species
GAUGUGGUUAAUGAUGCUCAUCUUUUUUCCCCAUCUUAUCGACAAUGGUGAAUUCUGACUGAAACUAAGCCAAUAAUGUCUGAAACCACAUC